rnacentral:rRNA from 1 species
UACGUAGGGGGCUAGCGUUGUCCGGAAUCAUUGGGCGUAAAGAGCGUGUAGGCGGCUCGGUAAGUCCGCUGUGAAAGUCCAGGGCUCAACCCUGGAAUGCCAGUGGAAACUGUCGAGCUAGAGUCCGGAAGAGGCGAGUGGAAUUCCCGGUGUAGCGGUGAAAUGCGCAGAUAUCGGGAGGAACACCAAUGGCGAAGGCAGCUCGCUGGGACGGUACUGACGCUGAGACGCGAAAGCGUGGGGAGCAAACAGG